rnacentral:lncRNA from 1 species
ACAUGACAAAGAACAGCCACACCUACAGUAUACCCAUACUGCUGUGCUCCUUUCAACACCUCAUUCUCCUGUUGUUCAGUGUGUUUUCUUGCUAGAGGGCCGUGUCAGUAGCACAGAAUAUACAUUUGCUGAACAUUGCCCCUAUGUGAUGAAGAAAUUGAUGAAGAAAGUUUCCUCUCCCUUAAGGAGAAAGACUUCAUCAACUUGAUUCCAAAAAUAGGACCACGGUCUGCAUUUACAGAAAAACACAAAGCAUUUCUCAAGAGUGAACCCUCAACAAGUAAAAUACGCCCUCUUCAAGUGAAUAUUACAGGCAAAAGGAAAUCUGAUGAGGCCCAUGCAAACAAACAAACAAAGAAACAACAACGUGUUGCUGCGUCCAGAAUAACUGAAACAUUUGGUAGGUGGAUGAUGGUGUUUAUAUGGACCACAAUCAUUUUAAGAAACACUCUUUUAAUUGGAAACCAUUUAACAUGAUGUAUUGUAGACAUUCCUAAUUGAGAAUCGUAAAUAUGUACAUGACUGUUCUCUGUUCUGUUUGCAUGUUGCACAGUAGUGUCACGUCCUGACCAGUAUAGGGGUUAUUUGUUAUUGUAGUUUGGUCAGGACGUGGCAGGGGGUGUUUGUUUUAUGUGGUUCAGGGUGUGUUUUGUGUAUGUGUUUAGGUAGAGGGGUAUUUGAUUUAUUAGUCCGGGGUUUGUUAGUCAUUGUUCUAUGUUAGUGUAAUUCUAUGUUCUUUCUAGUCGUUUUAGAUCUAUGUUUAGUUAAUUGGGGUUGGACCUUCAAUUGGAGGCAGCUGGUUAUCGUUGCCUCUGAUUGAAGGUCCUAUAAUUAGGAGUUUGUUUGUUUUGGGGAU